rnacentral:rRNA from 1 species
AACGAACGCUGGCGGCAUGCCUAACACAUGCAAGUCGAACGAGACCUUCGGGUCUAGUGGCGCACGGGUGCGUAACGCGUGGGAAUCUACCCUUGGGUUCGGAAUAACAGUUAGAAAUGACUGCUAAUGCCGGAUGAUGACGUAAGUCCAAAGAUUUAUCGCCCAAGGAUGAGCCCGCGUAAGAUUAGCUUGUUGGUGGGGUAAUGGCCUACCAAGGCGACGAUCUUUAGCUGGUCUGAGAGGAUGAUCAGCCACACUGGGACUGAGACACGGCCCAGACUCCUACGGGAGGCAGCAGUGGGGAAUAUUGGACAAUGGGCGAAAGCCUGAUCCAGCAAUGCCGCGUGAGUGAUGAAGGCCUUAGGGUUGUAAAGUUCUUUUACCAGGGAUGAUAAUGACAGUACCUGGAGAAUAAGCUCCGGCUAACUCCGUGCCAGCAGCCGCCGUAA